UAAGACAGACAUAUCACCCUGUAGCUCAAGACUGGUUACCCACUGAAGCUAAGCAGGGCUGAGCCUGGUCAGUACCUGGAUGGGAGACCUCCUGGGAAAACUAGGUUGCUGCUGGAA
rnacentral:rRNA from 1 species